rnacentral:rRNA from 1 species
AACACAUGCAAGUCGAGCGGUAACGAUUUCUAGCUUGCUAGAAGAUGACGAGCGGCGGACGGGUGAGUAACGACGUGAAAUCUACCUAGUAGUGGGGAGUAGCCCAGAGAAAUUUGGAUUAAUACCGCAUACGCCCUACCGGGGAAGACGGGGAGUCUUCGGACCUCGUGCUAUUAGAUGAGUCUGCGUCGGAUUAGCUUGUUGGUGAGGUAAUGGCUCACCAAGGCGACGAUCCGUAGCUGGUCUGAGAGGAUGACCAGCCACACUGGAACUGAGACACGGUCCAGACUCCUACGGGAGGCAGCAGUGGGGAAUAUUGCACAAUGGGCGCAAGCCUGAUGCAGCCAUGCCGCGUGUGUGAAGAAGGCCUUAGGGUUGUAAAGCACUUUCAGCAGUGAGGAAAGGGGUGUCGUUAAUAGCGCCAUCCUGUGACGUUAACUGCAGAAGAAGGACCGGCUAACUCCGUG